CGGGGCGUGGCGCAGACCGGUAGCGCACCUGCAUGGGGUGCAGGGGGUCGUUGGUUCAAAUCCAAUCGCCCCGACCA
rnacentral:tRNA from 1 species